CCUACGGGAGGCAGCAGUAGGGAAUCUUCCACAAUGGGCGAAAGCCUGAUGGAGCAACGCCGCGUGGGUGAAGAAGGUCUUCGGAUCGUAAAACCCUGUUGUUAGAGAAGAAAGUGCGUGAGAGUAACUGUUCACGUUUCGACGGUAUCUAACCAGAAAGCCACGGCUAACUACGUGCCAGCAGCCGCGGUAAUACGUAGGUUGCAAGCGUUAUCCGGAUUUAUUGGGCGUAAAGGGAACGCAGGCGGUCUUUUAAGUCUGAUGUGAAAGCCUUCGGCUUAACCGGGGUAGUGCAUUGGAAACUGGGAGGCUUGAGUGCAGAAGAGGGGGGUAGAACUCCAGGUGUAGCGGUGAAAUGCGUAGAUAUAUGGAAGAACACCAGUGGCGAAGGCGGCUCUCUGGUCUGUAACUGACGCUGAGGUUCGAAAGCGUGGGUAGCAAACAGGAUUAGAUACUCGGGUAGUC
rnacentral:rRNA from 1 species